AUGGAAAAUAUGUACAAGGAGAUCCCAGACAAAGCUUUGGAAACAUACAAGUUUGGAUCUGUGCAUUACUUGUUGUCUGGUCUAGCCACCAUAAACACAAUCUUGAGGCAUACUCUGUUACCCAAAUCUGGGGAUCACAAGAUGAUCAGAGGCCAUUCAAUCAACUUGCUGCAGAUACUUGAUGUGCCUCGGAAAUUCAAAGUUAUGAGCCUGAUUGUUGAAACAAUCAAGAGGACAGCUUCAGAUCUGAAGAGAUCUUGUGGGUAUGCUCCACACAUUCAGGUUCUCAUCAACUCCAAGAUGGGCACAUGCGCUUAUCUGUUGGACAAGGAGCACUUACCCUUAAGGCCAUAA
rnacentral:rRNA from 1 species